UAUACAUCACAACUAUUUGCUAUGGAGGAUAUUAAAAGGGGGAAAAAGAAUGAAAUUAAAAAAUAUAUAUAAUUCCAACUUUCGGCUGAAACCUUUCCUUGCUUCCAACAAGAACCCUAAUUUGGACUUAUUUCAAUAGAGGCAUGCACACCAAGCAUGAAGCGUUAUAACAUCGGCUGCUGCACCUCCUUCUCUAGCAUCGAUGUUCCAUUGAAG
rnacentral:misc_RNA from 1 species